CCUACGGGAGGCAGCAGUCGAGAAUCAUUCACAAUGGGGGAAACCCUGAUGGUGCGACGCCGCGUGGGGGAAUGAAGGUCUUCGGAUUGUAAACCCCUGUCAUGUGGGAGCAAAUUAAAAAGAUAGUACCACACGAGGAAGAGACGGCUAACUCUGUGCCAGCAGCCGCGGUAAUACAGAGGUCUCAAGCGUUGUUCGGAAUCACUGGGCGUAAAGCGUGCGUAGGCUGUUUCGUAAGUCGUGUGUGAAAGGCGCGGGCUCAACCCGCGGACGGCACAUGAGACUGCGAGACUAGAGUAAUGGAGGGGGUACCGGAAUUCUCGGUGUAGCAGUGAAAUGCGUAGAUAUCGAGAGGAACACUAGGGGCGAAGGCGGGUUCCUGGACAGUAACUGACGCUGAGGCACGAAGGCCAGGGGAGCGAAAGGGAUUAGAUACCCGGGUAGUC
rnacentral:rRNA from 1 species